AUGAAUAUGUGGAUUUCACAGAGGGAGGGACUCUGGUUACUGGCACUUGUUUCAAUAUUGAAUGUGCUGCACAGGAGAAGUGAGGCCUAUCUCCAAGACAAGGAAUUUCCAGUCCAUGGAGGAGUCACCGAGAAAACAGAAAGCAUAUGUGCUGUGAGGAGUAUACAGAUGGGCAUGACCCAUGAUCAAAUGCUGACUUCUCUGAAAACUAAGCUCAUUUCCUUUGGAAUUGUAAGAUUUUGAGGCUGUAUCUCCUGAACUUUGGAAGCAGUUAUUGAUUGUGGAAGCAUGCCCAAUUCUGGAAACUUUUGGAUUUUAAUUGCAUUUUAAAGGAGAAUUUUGAUCUUCUUCUGCUGGAAUAAAUGAAAAUAUCCAUAGAUUCUGAAUUCUAUC
rnacentral:lncRNA from 1 species